rnacentral:sRNA from 1 species
CGAACCUAUAUUUGUUACGGGUUC